rnacentral:rRNA from 1 species
GGGUUGUGAGGUUAAGCGACUAAGCGUACACGGUGGAUGCCCUGGCAGUCAGAGGCGAUGAAGGGCGUGCUAAUCUGCGAUAAGCGCCGGUAAGGUGAUAUGAACCGUUAUAACCGGCGAUACCCGAAUGGGGAAACCCAGUGUGAUUCGUCACACUAUCAUUAACUGAAUCCAUAGGUUAAUGAGGCGAACCGGGGGAACUGAAACAUCUAAGUACCCCGAGGAAAAGAAAUCAACCGAGAUUCCCCCAGUAGCGGCGAGCGAACGGGGAGGAGCCCAGAGCCUGAAUCAGCAUGUGUGUUAGUGGAAGCGUCUGGAAAGGCGCGCGAUACAGGGUGACAGCCCCGUACACAAAAGCGUAUGUGCUGUGAGCUCGAUGAGUAGGGCGGGACACGUGGUAUCCUGUCUGAAUAUGGGGGGACCAUCCUCCAAGGCUAAAUACUCCUGACUGACCGAUAGUGAACCAGUACCGUGAGGGAAAGGCGAAAAGAACCCCGGCGAGGGGAGUGAAAAAGAACCUGAAACCGUGUACGUACAAGCAGUGGGAGCACCCUUUGGGGUGUGACUGCGUACCUUUUGUAUAAUGGGUCAGCGACUUAUAUUCUGUAGCAAGGUUAACCGAAUAGGGGAGCCGGAGGGAAACCGAGUCUUAAUUGGGCGUUAAGUUGCAGGGUAUAGACCCGAAACCCGGUGAUCUAGCCAUGGGCAGGUUGAAGGUUGGAUAACACUAACUGGAGGACCGAACCGACUAAUGUUGAAAAAUUAGCGGAUGACCUGUGGCUGGGGGUGAAAGGCCAAUCAAACCGGGAGAUAGCUGGUUCUCCCCGAAAGCUAUUUAGGUAGCGCCUCGUGAAUUCAUCUCCGGGGGUAGAGCACUGUUUCGGCUAGGGGGUCAUCCCGACUUACCAACCCGAUGCAAACUGCGAAUACCGGAGAAUGUUAUCACGGGAGACACACGGCGGGUGCUAACGUCCGUCGUGAAGAGGGAAACAACCCAGACCGCCAGCUAAGGUCCCAAAGUCAUGGUUAAGUGGGAAACGAUGUGGGAAGGCCCAGACAGCCAGGAUGUUGGCUUAGAAGCAGCCAUCAUUUAAAGAAAGCGUAAUAGCUCACUGGUCGAGUCGGCCUGCGCGGAAGAUGUAACGGGGCUAAACCAUGCACCGAAGCUGCGGCAGCGACACUCAGG